GCGGGUGUAGCUCAGUUUUGGUUCAGCAAGUUUCCCUAAGUUUUCUUUCGCGCUUUUGGGAAAGGCCAAGUGGUAGAGCGCCCUCAUUCCGGGGGAGGUCACGGGUUCGGCUCCCGUCACCCGCU
rnacentral:tRNA from 1 species